rnacentral:pre_miRNA from 1 species
ACUCAAACUGCGUGCUUCUUUGCAUACCCAUACGGUUACAGCUAUGGAAUGUAAAGAAGUAUGUAGUUCGAUC